rnacentral:rRNA from 1 species
GAUGAACGCUGGCGGCGUGCCUAAUACAUGCAAGUCGAGCGAACAGACGAGGAGCUUGCUCCUCUGACGUUAGCGGCGGACGGGUGAGUAACACGUGGAUAACCUACCUAUAAGACUGGGAUAACUUCGGGAAACCGGAGCUAAUACCGGAUAAUAUAUUGACCCCCUGGGUCCAUUGGGAAAAUAGGUUUUUCUGGUACUUAUUGGUGGAUUCGCGCCGUAUUAGCUAGUUGGUAAGGUAACGGCUUUCCAAGGCGACGAUGCGUAGCCGACCUGGGAGGGUGAUCGGCCACACUGGAACUGAGACACGGUCCAGACUCCUACGGGAGGCAGCAGUAGGGAAUCUUCCGCAAUGGGCGAAAGCCUGACGGAGCAACGCCGCGUGAGUGAUGAAGGUCUUCGGAUCGUAAAACUCUGUUAUUAGGGAAGAACAAAUGUGUAAGUAACUAUGCACGUCUUGACGGUACCUAAUCAGAAAGCCACGGCUAACUACGUG